CGCAUACUGUGUGUCCACUUCUGACCAAUCAGAUUUCGUGUUGUUGCGACGUCUGAUUCACUGGUAUAUCCAACAUGGCCGACUGGCUGAUUGUUUACGUGCCGGAGAACAGAGUGCUUUUUGAUAAAAGACACAAAUAUUACAAAGAUAACGACCUGAAGAACAACUUGUGGAGAGUCAUAGCGUCGGAUUUCUCAUAUGACGAUGGUUUGUGUGCUUUAACAGCUUGCUACAAGUCUUUGUUUUAACUUUCAUCUGUGCUAAGUAACUUUAGCUCGUAAGCUAACCUGUUCAGAUACAACAUACCGAAUGUAUUUUCACUCUCAAACUCAAUGGCGUUGCUGUCAUAGCACCUUUAGGUCUUGGUUUGUUACCUUACGUUUAUGGAUUAUAGUUUAAUGUGCUUAUCUGGUACUGGCCCCUACUCAGUACAUGCUAUCAUGACAGACAGCCAUCUCAACGCUCGUGUCUAAUCAGAACUGAAAAACAGUCAGUCUGCUGUUGUGUCAGUCUUCUCGCUUCCACCUGGGACAUGACUUUUUUCCCCCUGGAAAGUCGCAAAAUCACAACGGGCUUGAUGUGUAUAGUCAGGCGCGUCAAAAUUCGCCUCUGAAUAUUAAGUCAUUUUGCGUUCUAUAUUUGCGUCUGUCCCGGUGUGGAAGGACCUUCAGAUUAAAAGUGGAGGUUCUACUAAGCAUGCACUCCAAAACAUUUGUGACAAACUAUAAUUAAAUGCCUAAAUAACAAAGGCCAUGUUGUCAAUUAGAGCAUCCAAAACAUUUGAUCCAGUUUUUUAAUUUAAUUGAAUUUUUUUGCUCCACCCACAGUCUCUGGUGGAGGUUUUUAUGCUAAAUUCACACAGAGGCAGGGGGUACAUUUGAAAUCUAGUAUCAACUUUUUAUCCACUUACUGCAUUUAAUGUGUAUUCUUAAAUAAUUCAUAGUGUAGACUUGCCAUUACUGAGUGCAUCACUUGCCUGAUGUGAGUGAAUGCAGCGCUAGACAUGUGUCAUGAAUGCAGAACUGGUCUAAUGUCAGUGAAUAACUACUGGUCUAAUGUCAGUGGAUGCAGAGCUGUCCUGGUGUCAGUAAAUGCAGCGUUAGACAUGUGACAGUGAAUAACUACUGGUCUAAUGUCAGUGGAUGCAGCACCAGCCUGGUGUCAGUGAACGCAGCACUGACCUGAUAAUUGGUCCAUCCUGAUGAUCUGAGGAGGAUUGAUGCAGGAGAAUCUCUGAGACAGCGCUUGGUAUGGUGCUUCAGUGUCAGUGAAGGAGGAAUAGAGAGGGUUGACCUGGAUCAAAGUUACUCCUUAAGGAUAGCCUGCACCUGUGCAUUAAGGCCUUCUUUGGCAGAGGGGUAAACACAAGAACAUGACUGUGAACAAUAUAUACAUGAGCAAACACAGCUGUGAACUCUUUCAAAAGUCUUUUCUUUCUAACAACACUGUUUCAGUUUAAGGAGCAGCUAAUAUACAGCAAAAGGCUAUUCCACUGUUUGAUAGAAUAUGUUUCAGUGGAAACAGACCCUAAACCCACAGAAGGUCUUCAGCCACAGGUUGAUGUGAACCUGGAAGAGGAACUUUGCAAAUCAUGUUAUUUACCCAAAGUUCCUCUGUCCUGGAGUCUUAAAGGUAACCUCCCUGGCAGGCAGAGCAAAGGGCAGACGAGUGGAGAAAAGAAAAGUACAUAUCAGUGAGUCCUGAUGUCCCCUGUGUCUCCUGCAGACAAAGAGCGUCCCCCCCUCUGGCCCCCUUCCCCCCACUGAGAGAUCCAUCCACAGGCUCUAAAUGCUUCCCAGUCAAACUUGGAAUAUGGAUGAAGGGGACGAGGGCUUUGUGGCGGAAAUAUAAUUACGGCCUGUGAAAGCUGGAGGGGGUGGAGAAUGGGGGAUGACAUCAGAGUGAUUUCACACCCGGCCCCGGACGGCCAGGCCAAGCCGAGGCCUGGCUGCGCUCUGCUGAUCAAAGGCUGCCAGAGACAGAAACACUUAACUAUGCUAAUCUGCAGGACAAAUAUAUUUUAAUCUUGUUAGAAUACAAAUUAAUGCUGCAACCCAGAGGAAACUUCCAGCAGAAAGAUACCAGGAAACACUAACACUGUUUCUGACCAACAUCAAGGGGAUCAGACCUCAAGGAACACGGAGAACAGGACUUCCAGAGUCGGAUUGAUCCUCUGAGGACACUGAAUGCGAUCUGCAGGCGUGGCUUAGAAUCACAAUGCUGUGUCCAGACUCAAUUUGCUCACCAUGAAUCAACUGUAAAUAAAACACCAACUCAGAUAAAUGACAAUUUACCUGUGACCUGGAUGAGUUUACACUGAUCCAAACUGAGCUCUGGGUUCACAUCCAGCUUUUAUUAUGGAUCCACUUAAACAUUUCAACCAAAACGUUGGUGUACCUUUGACACUGGUGAAAACUCAAACUACGUUGUGCAAAUCAAUAAAAAAAAGAAAUCUUAAAUUUCAAUUCAGAAGAGAUGGAACAUCAUGGUAAAUGUGAAUGAAAACAAAACAAAACACAUUUUGAUGCUUUAUGAGUCAUUUGAAACCCACAUUUAAUUCAAAACAGUGCAAAGUUGAAAUUGGAGUUUGAAAGUCAAAUGUUGUCCCAUUCUUGCCUGAUAGAGGAUUUCAGCUGCUCAACAGUUCAGAGUCUCCUUUGUCCUAUUUUUGGUGUCUUGAUGCUCCAAAUGUUUUCAAUGGGGGACAAGUCAGGACUGCAUCAGUCCAGUUUCUCAGCAGAACUCUUCUACUACAGAGCCAUGCUGUUGUAGUCCCUGUUGUCAGAAUGUGGUGAUUGUCUUGCUGAAAUAUGAAGGUCUUCCCUGAAAAACUCUUUGUCUGGAUGUCAGCAGAUGUUGCUUCUACCUGUAGAUUUUGUUCAGCAUGAAUGGAGCCUUCACAGAUGUUCAAGAUACUCAUGACAUGGACUCUGAAGAUACCGAUACCAUCAGGGAUGCUGGAUUUGGACUGGGAGUUGAGAACAAGCCAGGCGGUCCCUCUUCUCUUUCAAGCUAUCUGUGAUUUCCAAAAAGGAUCUCACAUUUUGAUUUACCACAACACAGCAGAGUUCUUCACCUCACCUUAGUUCAGUUCUAACUUCAUUUGUGGAUGCAGUGAUAAACUCUGUUCACAGACAAUGGUUUCUGGAAGUGAUUUAGAGCCUUUUCACUUAUUCCCACUCCAGAGUCCUGUCUGUUUUUAAUGCAGUACUGCCUGAGGGCCAGGAGAUCAGGUUCAUCCAGUCUUGGUUUUGGUCCUAGUCCCUUUAGUACAGAGAUUUCUCCCGAUUCGCUGAAUCUUUUAAUGAUAUAUUGUUCUGUAGAUGAUGAAAUCCACUCUUUCUUUCACAUUUGACACUCAGGAACAUUAUUCUGAAACUGUUAUUCUGAAACCCUAACUGUUUUCUUUCUUCUUUUUUUUUCCUUUUUCUAAAUUUUUUCUUAAUUAUUACAUUUAUUUAACUUUCUUAAUAUUAGGAUCUUUAUUUUUUAUAACUGCAUUUUUGCACUCUUUGUCUGUGAUGCUGCUGUGACAAAAAAAUUUCCCCAAUGGGGGAUCAUUAAAGGAAUAUUCUAUUCUAUUCUAUUCUUGAUCUAUUUGCUCACACAGUCUCUCACAGCGAUAAAUAAAAGUUACCAUCAAAACAAUCUUGUGUGCUGUAUUAGUGCUCAGGGAUGAGCUUAGGUUUGCUUGUUGCUGACCAUUUUAAACUGUAAACCCCCGCCCCCCCAAAAAAAAGAGAAAAAAAGGGAAAGAAAAUCACGUCCUCUAAAUUGACACAGAUAAUGAAACAAGACAUAGAGACCAAAUCAGUUUUUGUACUGGGCUAUAGUUUUAUUUCUGCUGUAAAAAUAUUUAUUUUACAAUUUUUUUUCCAAUUGUGUUUGAAAUCGAGGCUCAUUUUGUCAAGAAACUACACACAACCACUCACAUAAUCAGCAAUACACCUCAGAUCCUUUGCAAAAUGAAUCACUUUUGUAAAAACCCUACUCUUACACAGAUAAUGUUUGCUUGAAUUUGUCUGAGCUUUAUGGGACUAAUGGCCAAAACCGUGUUUAUGAUCUCUCUCUCUUUUGUUCCAGUGUGAAUAUGACCCCCUUCAGCCAUGUCGAUCUCAACCUUCAAUCCCGUGUUGGACAAAAUACAUGUAACCUUUCGUAAAGUGCCGAAAAGGGGUAAUAAAAGUGAUGACAAGGGUAAAUACAAUAAGCAGCUGCUUACUGUAACUGUAGACAGAUAUUUUUUUUUUAACCUAUUUUAUGUGGAAAUGUCCUGAUAACGGAUGCCACCGUACAUCUGCUCAGAUUUUGGCUGAACUCUCUGCAUCAGUCCAUGGUUCACAACAUGGUCAACUAGUGUUGCACGAAUUUCAUUGAAUAAAAUUGGUCCUUUUCUUCGUUAAGCACAUUCUCUGCCUGCGUUAAGUCUCCCUCCUCUCACCCUCAUUCUUCUUCUUCUGACUCCUAUCAUUUUGGUUGAAGACAGAUGAACUCACCUGUUGCAUUUUCACCUGAUGUGUGUAUUUAACCAGUUGGCUCACUCAUGUGGUAAAUUGACAGUCAGUGCACUGGUAUUGCAAGGAAGUGACGUCAUGAUGUACUUUGUGUCUAAUGUAUACAACUGUGUUUACAACUGCAAAUAACCAAACAAUAAAGUGUGAGGCUGACAUUGUGCUAAUAGUGGUGCAAAUAAAAUAAGAUUAGAUAAGAAGAGCUAUAUUUAUCCCAGAGGAGAAAUUCGAUAAUCAAAAUCUGGGUCGAUCUUUUGUUCAUCGAGCUUUAAGGUCCUUUCACACCAGGAGCACUUAUUUCGUGCGAUUAUUUCGGGCCUCAAUAUUUUUUUUUGAAACCCAUAUCCUGUCAAUACAAGCGUCUACAUCAGCAACAUUUUCCUGUCCUGCCAAAUAGCGACAUUUAUUUUUUCGGAUCACAGUCGAUUUUUCUAAAGUUUCGCAAACUGGCUCUCAUUUAUCAAGCUUGCGUACGGCAGAAAACUUACGUACACCUUGCGUACAAAAAUUUUGGCGUGAGGAUCGGCAUUUAUCAAUCUGCACGCGAGCGUACGCUAUGACCAAAUCUCACGACAGGUCUGACAUCGUGUACGCAAGUUUGAGUCAGUGUGGAUCUGUGGUGCAGCAAAUGUCUGUCUGAAAAUAAUUGAUAAACAAACCUCAAACCUGUCAUUAAGCACAAUCAGACAGAUUUUAUCAAAAAUUAAGACGUAAAUAAAAUAAAUUUGUUUUCGUAAAUUCACGUUUUAAAUUUGCUUCGGUCCCGGUGUGUAAGGACCUUGAGUUUUUAAUAAUUGUUUAUACUUUUGAUUUUAUAGAUUAUGCAGUCAUAUAGCUGUAUUAGGGCCUCUGGUUUCUGCCGAC